ensembl:lncRNA
GUUUUAUUUGAAGAAAUGAUUAGAGUUUAUUUUAUUGCCAGGAAAGGCUGCCAGCCUUUAUGAUGACAAAAUUGCUGAGUUUACUAGGAAGUUUAUUUAUAUAGGCCUUGAAAGACAGACUCUCCCAUGACAGACACCAGCGAAGACCUGGGUUUGCUGGGUCUCCUGUUUCCCCUAACUGUUCUGCUGACAUGUUAACCCUUUGCUCUGACAGAUUCCUGAGAAAUGAGCAAUUAAGAGCAAAAAUCUGUACAAGAUACCCCUUCCUUGUGGGGAAACUGGGUAUUCAAGGAACUCUGGGCUGGAAACCUGAAGGAACAAACGGGUUGGCAGACGUUUAUUGCUGGUACUGUGGGCCACCCCCAGCUAUGGCUAACAUAACCACAGGGAUAGCAGACAUCUUCCCAGGAGGAGAUGGUUUUAGAGUGAUCUACCACGUCCUGCCAUGCAUGUCAACUCUGGGACAAGUGAUGCCAUUAGAAGUCCUCUCAUCUCCCACUGAUGCCCCUGUUGCAGCAAUGGAAUCACCAGAAGAUCUCCCACCACCAAAAAAAACCCACAUUUUGGGGAGGGCAGAAUUGUGAUGAAUUUAAGACUCGGCAAGACAAUGAGUUUUAGGGUAAGAAAUACGUGUUUAAAUUUUCUUAGGUGUCAAAAUGCUCUGCUUUGACACAUUAAAAACGAAAAGGUUUCGUUUGGAAAAUUUCCAAGUGUGUCAUUUCAUCGUUAAUAUUCAUUCACUAAUAUUAUUUUCUUCUAUAAAGUGGACUGACCUGGGAAGGUAUCCAAAACAGACCAGAAUGAAUUAAAUAAGAAGAUUCGUAUUUCACCUUCAUUCCUGGUGCUUGUUUUGUUUUAGAGAAAAAGAAAUGCCCCCAGUUCUGCUCCAGCUCUGAUCUAACUUUCUUCCACAUGUUCAUCAAACAAGAGAGAUCAACCCUCUUCCCUCAUCACAGUCUUCAACCAGCACCUCAGUUCUACUGCUUGGCCUGGAAAAGCCUUUUAUCAGGCAGUGACGAUGGCAGGCAGUUAUCCUCUAUGGACGAAUGACAGAAGAGGAUCCUAAACAUAAUUUACAAACAGCCAUGUAGACAGGAGUGAGGGAGGACAGAGAACCCAAAGCUUUGGGAUGAGCUUGUGCCAUACCUUGGGCUCAGCAGCACCUGUGGAUUCCCGUGGGGGAGGACCAAGGCAGCAUCAUCACCUUGCCUCCUGCACACCAUUAGACUCCCUGGAGAAAUGAAACCGUGUGCUUUUGCCUAUUAGCAGAGAAGUCUGGACUACGUGGUUGUGAUACACAAAUCUAACUGUCUCAGGAAAUAAAGGGCUGUUUCUUUGGAGUAAAAUUGUCAGUCAGUGUCAAAUGUAGCCUAGGCAUCCUAAUGGUCAGAGAUGGAUGGAGAUGAGGCCCAGCUGUAAGAAGUGUAGGCCUGAUAACCCUCCUGAUGUUUGGGGAUGGCUGUGACAAAUAUCACCCUUCACCCCUACCUGCUUUCUACAUCCCCAGGCAUAUCCCAUGUAGCAGCCAUAUGUCCCAGCAUGUGUCACUGCCAAUAAUGCCUUCUUUUUUUAACAAUUCCAUCCACUGAAAAAUCUGAGUGGAGGAAGACAAUGGUGUUAAUUCAUUCGUUGGGAAAAACUCUUGGCCCCAAAGGGUUAAAAUGUCGAAGGGAUGUUUGCAAGCUCAUGUCUGCAUUGUGCCAUCUUCAGAGAAUCUGGCUCAAUAUCUGUUCCUUCACUCUAGCACUAAUGGAGCUUUGUAGCAGGUAAAACUGAGCCCAAUUUCCUCAAUCUUCUGUUAGUGUUACUGAAAAAACAUCCUUAAAUUAGGUCCCAAAUUCCUGUGAUCCUCACAGUGCUGAGCGUGGAUGAAUAACUUUUGAUAACAGCCCUGGAUUUAGUGGUGUGGCGAGAUUUAUUUCCUGAUCUUUUGCCCAUCAAAUCUUUUUCUGAUCUUAAUUGUCAAUCACAUCAUAUGAUUUCUCCAGAGAAAUGAAAAUAGCAGCUAUUUGUCUUGAAAAUCCACCCUUUGAUGUAAGAAUUCCAGGAAAUAAAACACCUUUAUAGUUAUGGGAUCCAGACCUGUCUGACUGGGAUGCAUUUCCAUCAAGACUUGUGUGGGUUUGUUGACUGGAUUUUUAAGACAUUCUGCGUCUUUUAUGGGGAUUUGCAAUGGGGCAUUCAUGGCACAUUCAUUUUUGUGAGGAAUAAAACAGCCUGGGUCAUAUGCCUUAGGGAUCCCUUGUCCAGUGUGCCAGCCCUCCUGGACCAGUGUGGGCUUCCAAGGCAGUGCUCCCCAGCCUGCACAAGUCCAGCCCUUGCUGUGAUGCUGAAAUGAGGUCCUGGAUUUUCAGGCCUGCUUCCAUGUUGGCUAUUUCCCUUAGGGCCCAUUAGGGACAUCUUCCAACAGAUGACACACAGCUGCCAAGUGAAGAUAUAUCAGUGUUCUGCUUUGAAGGUCAAACCUUGCCCAGCCUCUGCUUACAGGUUGGCACAACAUGAGGUCACUGCACUGUCCUCCAUCCAGAUCAAGGAUUAGCCAAUGCACAUCUCCAUCUGGUGAAGUUAUUUCCAGUUUUACUUAUCAAUUCUGUUGGUAAAGAUAGAGGAAGUGAGGAAAUUUAUUUAGAAAAAGUAGUCAUAUCAGCCUUGUUACGUGUCCACCAGCCUUAGGGAGUCCUUUAUAUUUUAGCUGUGCACUGUGGGAUUAAGAUGUGUGUUAUGAACCUAGAAGACCAAUAGGUCUUUCUCAUGGGAACCUCUUCCCAACCAUGCUGGUUGGAUAGGAGGGUCUGCAACAGUACAGACAUGUAGGUAUCUGUGUACGGACACUGUGAUGCUUCAAACGUCCCAGCAAAGAUGAAU